rnacentral:rRNA from 1 species
UACGGGGGGUGCGAGCGUUGUCCGGAAUCACUGGGCGUAAAGGGCGCGUAGGUGGUUUGAUAAGGGUGUGGUGAAAGUCCGGGGCUCAACCCCGGAUCUGCCGUGCCGACUGUCAAACUCGAGGGCUGUAGAGGCAGACGGAAUUCCGGGUGUAGCGGUGGAAUGCGUAGAGAUCGGGAAGAACAUCAGUGGCGAAGGCGGCCUGCUGGGCUGUUGCUGACGCUGAGGCGCGACAGCGUGGGGAGCAAACAGGG